rnacentral:rRNA from 1 species
AUGCGGUGGAGGCCGCGCAAGCUGGGGCUCUGGGCCGCCCUCCUCGCCGCGGUGGCCCUGCUGGCCGUCGGCGGCGGAGGCGGGGUGGCGGCCGCGGCGGGGGCGGAGGAGGCCUACGUGACGCUGCUCUACGGGGACGAGUUCGUCCUGGGCGUGCGCGUCCUCGGGAAGUCCAUCCGCGAUAUGGGCACCCGCCGGGACCUUGUCGUGCUCGUCUCCGACGGCGUCUCCGACUACUCUCGGAAGCUCCUCGAGGCUGACGGUUUUAUAGUGAAGCAUAUAGUAUUGCUGGCGAAUCCUAAUCAAGUGAGGCCAACAAGGUUUUGGGGUGUGUAUACCAAAUUGAAAAUAUUCAACAUGACUACCUAUAGAAAAGUUGUUUAUCUUGACGCAGACACCGUUGUAGUGAAAAGUAUCGAGGAUCUUUUCAACUGUGGAAAGUUCUGUGCAAACUUGAAACAUUCUGAGAGAAUGAAUUCUGGAGUAAUGGUUGUUGAGCCAUCUGAAACUCUUUUCAAGGAUAUGAUGAGCAAAGUUGACAGCUUACCUUCUUACACGGGAGGAGAUCAAGGUUUUCUCAAUUCUUAUUAUGCUGAGUUUGCCAAUUCCCGUGUUUUUGAUCCCAAUAAACCUUUAACGCCUGAACCUGAGACGCAACGCCUCUCCACGUUGUACAAUGCUGAUGUCGGUCUUUACAUGCUUGCGAAUAAGUGGAUGGUCGAUGAGAAAGAACUUAGGGUUAUUCACUACACACUUGGACCUCUUAAGCCGUGGGACUGGUGGACAGCUUGGCUUGUUAAACCAGUAGCUGUAUGGCAGGAUGUUAGGCAAAAUCUUGAAGAAUCUCUUCCUGGAACUGGUGGAGGGAAAAACCCUCAUGACCAGUUGGUGGUCAAAAUUCUCUUCAUUCUUCCCUUUUGCAUGCUGUUAUGUGGUUAUUAUGGGUCAUGCUUUCAGACUAAUAAGGAGCUGUUGAGUAUGAGAACUCUGUGUGCUUUUGCUAGACAAGCUCGCUAUAAAUACAAAUCUGAAGAGGCACUUCCAUCUUAUUCAACAGUUGGAGUGGCUUCAUCUUCCUUUGGUAUAUCAAAUCAAAAGUUAUCUACUGGAGCACAUCUGAAGUUGCCUUCUUAUUUUGGUGCAAUCGCUGUGGUAGUCUGUUUCAUUUGUGCAUUGAUAUCUCUUGCAUUUGCCUUCCUUGUUAUUCCACGGCAAGUGAUGCCAUGGACGGGUUUGCUGCUGAUGUUCGAGUGGACCUUUGUGACAUUCUUUUUGUUGUUCGGGGGCUACCUUCGUUUUGUAUACAAAUGGGGAAGUUUUAGUGCAAAUCAUGCUGGGUAUGGCAGUUUGGAUUCAUCGGAGAAUCAUACUGGCACAGGCCAUCAGGGGAAUACGUCUGAUUGUGACACAGCUUCAGCUUUCUAUUGGAUGGGGAUGGCUACCAUCUCUACGAUAGCACCAUUAUCACCAACCGUCCUCGGCAUAACUGCCAUUUUUGCAAAACUUGGGUUGAUGGUAGCGGGUGGUGUGGUGCUGGCGUCAUUUAUGACAUACGCUUCGGAGCAUCUGGCUGUGUCUGCCUUUGUCAAGGGUCAAAGAGGUAGAUCGAAAAUACCCGAGAGGUAG